UGUCUCCGGGCGAGAGGUCGCGAGCGACUUUGGUGUGUCGCUCCAACGGGUCGCUCUGGAUCGGGAGCGACCUUGGUAGGUCGCUCUGAGAGGUCGCUCCAGGCUUCGCUUCGUGUCGUCUCUCCAUAAAGACGCGAGCGACCUCGGGGUGUCGCUUUGGGAGGUCGCUCCGAAAGGGGUGUGAGAUGCGAGCGACCUCGGUGCGUCGCUCUGGGCAAGUCGCUCUGGGCUUCCUACGGGAUGAAUAUGGCGAGCGACUUCACGGGGUCGCUCUAGCUAGGUCGCUCUGAGAAGUGGGACACAGCGACUUCGUGGUGUCGCUCCGGGAGGUCGCUCCCAUGCUCGGUUCGUCCAAUGGUCACCUUUUUACCUCUUUCGAGCUCCAAAUAACCUCAUGUGGUACUCCAGUACCUAAUUGAGACUCAUGUAUGCAAAAUGCAACCUAAACAUGUCUAAAUCCUAAUCUAUAUGAUGAAAAUGUUUAUGAAUGAAUGUGUAAAACAAUGCAAAUAUGCAAGAUAUCAUUUUACCAAGCGAAAGGAAGGAAGUGUAACCGGUGCCGUCUUUAAAUGUUAUAAUCUUGUAACCGAUCGCAUCUCGUUUGGAAUGAAAGAGAAUCAAACUGAUUGUUUCGAAUACUUUAAUAUUUCCACAUGUCUUGAUCAUCACUCAAUCAUCGAACACAAACAAACUUGAAGCUGAGAUGAGAUAAGUAUCAACCGACCAAGAAAACAAUUAUAAUCACAAUUACGUCCACUUAAGGUAAUUUCCACCAUCAUGAUGCUCUUAAACAUGGUCAUGAAUGUGUGUUUCAAUUCUGUUAGAUAAUAUUUUUUCAGAGUUUCUCAUAAAGACAAUCCAGCAUGCAUGAUGCACAUUUAGUGCAAGUUUAUGUAUAUGAACCAAUAAAAUAGCAUUUUUGUGACCAAAAAGAUGUAUCUCUUUUAUUUAAGAAUGAUACAUGUGCUUAUUGUUGUUAAGUUUUGAAGAAAAAAUAAUGAACUAUUAUUAUUUUUGAUAACUUUAUGCUUUUGAUCAUUACCUUAUGAAUGACCAAAAUAGAUAUUAUCGCUAAGAUAUAAGAGUGACACAUGUGUCUAUUAUUGUUAAAAAAAUUUCAUUAAAAUUGGAUUAUUAUUCUCAGAAAGUCUUACGAUUUAGAUUUUUUCCUUAUGAAAAUCUUAUGAUUUAGAUAUUUUCAACUAUAGAAUCAUGUCUAUGAUUUUGUUGUUGUUGUCAACAUUUCUGUGACUUGAAAAUGUGUCAACAUUUCACACUUGUUGCAGAAAUUCAUUUGUCGAUCAUAAUGAAAAGACAGCAUGUAAAUCUCACAAACACCAAAUUCAUAGUUACGUUAAAAACGCAACGGUUUGUCAAUGUUCCAGUUCACCAGAACCCAUACAUAAUUUGUAAGGUUUGUUGAGUCGUCAAAUUCAACGUCAACAACUUGUCCAAGUUUGUCCCCAACGAAAUCGACUAUUGCUCUCGAUAGAUAAUGAGGAGGGAUUCCCCUUAUCAGAACCCAGAACUGAACCUUCUUUAAGCUUUCUUCAGUAACGGUGGGAGCCCAACGCUUCAAAACGAUCAACCUAACUCUGUACAUGGCGUCCUUUGUCUUGAACACAAACUGGAACUUUCGGGAGUCAAUAACCCGACCAAUGACUUCAUCAGUUAUGCCCCAAAUGCAAGGCAUCUGGUUAAUCAACACACUCAUACUUUGUUUCUCUGGGUUAACAAGUAUGCCAACAAUGGAAAAAUGGUUCAGCACGGCUUCGGCGCACAUUAAAGGGGGCACAACGGUUGGCUUUUCAUCCUGCCAAGAUUCAAUAUCUUGCAAAAAGCUUAGAUUAUUAUCACACAUUUUGAGAAAUAAUAGAAAUUGAAACCGGGAAGAAAGGUGUGAGAAUCAAUAGUAUUUAUAAGUUGAGACAUGGCGGUUUCAAAUUACGGAAUUUGAUUAACUACCUAAAACCGUUGGACAAUAAAAAGGAAGAAGACCAAGCGAAAUGAUAAUUUGUAUGUAAAUGAGUAAAUCUAUUUUAAGUCCCAAACAAAACAGACCUAUGAGUUUGGUUUCAAUCUUGUUUCAAUCUUGUUUUUUCAAUCUAUCUGAUUUCAUGAGAAUGAUUGAACACCAUCAUCAGGUGUUCAUCUUUCUCGCAAGCGUCGCAUGCAUAUUUGGUGGUUUCAAUUUUUUCAGUCACUGGGUUGAAAUAUGGUGUAGUUUUCCCACAACAGCCUUUGCACCCAACAUAGAACCAAGGAAUUCCCUUUUGAAUUGCUAAGAUAGAUGCGAACAUAACACAAGUACUUUCCUAAAAAAAAAUGAAAACAAAAUAUAUUUCAGUAUGGCCAAGAUGUAUAUAAUAGUUUAUAACAUAUUUAUUAUUACCUCGAUGCACAUGAGCUAAUCGAUUGUUUUGAAACAGCUUAAUGGGAAAUCAUCAACGAUUAUCACUUUAUUUGAAGUGGGUUUUAUCAUUUGAGUAACCGUACAUGGAGCCAAAUUAUCAGUGUUCACCAUUCUGAAAUUAAUUUAAAAGUCUUAGUAAAAAAUAAUGUAAAAGGAAAGAUAAAUAAGUAAAUUUAAAGAUGAACUUACCCUUUCUUAAAUUCACUUAUCUCAUCUAUAUCUUCAUUCAGAAAAAAACUUUGUAUGAGUUUUGAACUGAUAUUUUACCUAUAUAUAAAAUAAUUUAUUUUAUACUGUUAUUAAAUUUUUUUUUUAAAUACGGUACUUUUCUGAUAAAAUGGUUACCGUUGAAUUUUUUAGUCCUCAUAAGACUUCCAAGCAAUAUAACUGGACCAGUUUUGUUUUUCUUCACAUAAGAGUGCACAUCCUCAACAUGGUUUUCCCAUAAAGUGCAUUCAAUGAUUGUUUCACUACAAUUAAAAGCAUUGAAUUAAUAUGCAAUCAAAGUUUCAUAACGCUAAUGUAAGACAAACUUUAGAUAACUAAAAUACUAACAUAACUAAAAUAUUUGUACAACUAACCUCAGAUCUCGUAGUUGAAUAUCCAAAAGUUUUGUUGAAUGUCCUGCAUACUUUCUCUCAGUGAUUUCACCCAGUAUGUCUACAUAAAAAAUAGAAAAUUGAGCAAAGAUUAGGUAAAUACUGAAUGGGGAAAUUAUGUACUAACUUCAGUAUGGAUUAAAAUAUGUAAAACUUAAGAGAAAUAGCAUACCUAUGAAGACAUCAUCAACAUUGGACUGAGAUGAAAUAUCUGGAAAAGGGCUUAAGUUGAAGCGGGAUAGAUUUGGGAUCUGCUCAGAGGUCUUCAUAUAUGUAGUCCAUAUAAAACUUAUCUUGUAAGAGUGUGUGGUUCCUCUGUAAUCACCAUUGUUACCCAACACUUCAAAAUUCAUGAUAUCUAGAUACUCUCCUUCUUUUAGAUCCUUCCAAAAUUUUUAAUCAAUUUCUGUUCAAUAGAAGCUUGAAUCCUUUCUCCCUGUCAAGUGUGAAAGAUUAAAGAUUAAAGAUUAGACACUACUCAAACGGUUUCUACAAAAUAUUUUUAGAUAUCAAAGUGUAUACACCUUUUCAUCCACAAGGAUAGCUUCCAUCCUGAGAACAACUUUAGGUUUAUUUUUGGAGUAGUAGUUACAUACCCGUGAGACCAACACUCGGAUUUUCCAUUCUUUUUUAGAUGAAUUGAGCUGGGAAGGAAGAGUAUACUCCAGUGGCAUCUUCAACCUACACUCUGCAUAAAUAGAGAGUGGAUGAUGUAUUAGAUAAGAAGAAAAGAAGUGUUCUAAGAAUAUUGAUAGAAAGCAAAAACCUGUGAAGAGUGUUUUGGCUACGAUGGUGAGGAAAAAAAAUAGAGAUGAAACAAUGGUGGAAAAAAAGAAGGUGAAGCUGUGGUGAUAAAGAGAACGGGAAAGGUAAAGCUAUCGUGUGUUCAGUUGAGAAUAAUUAGGCUUAAAGGUUUGGGGGAUAAGUAGUGGGUAGUUAUUCUAUGUUUAUCUAUUGUAAUUGUUAAUUUAAUUUUAUUGAGUUGGUAUUUUAUCUAAACUUUAUUAUAUUAGUUUUAAUACAAUUACAUACACUAUAUUUAGAAAUUUUGUAUUUGAUCCGUAGAAACCGUUUUGUAAGAGUAUACUAUUCUUUGCAAAACAGCACUCAUAGUUUUUAAUUUCCAACCAUAUCAAACCAGCAUGUAUUUAGUAUUACUCUGUAUAUCUUCGUUAGUUGAAAAGUUUAUAUUGUUGAAGUCAGAUAUUUGUUUUUUUAAUAAGUUUCCACUUUGUUUGCUAUAAAUAAAUAAAAAAUAAGUAAAAUUUAUCAUGAAAAAAAUAUAGUUCAAAUAAGAAGAGCAUUAUAAGCAUCUUCAAAUGUAGUAUACAAAAUCCCAUUAACAGUUCGUAUAUCCUCGUAACUGGUCGAACCUUUGAUCUUGUUUAAAAGAAGACUCAGAUAAAAAAGUUCUUUUGUACUUGAGUAAUUUUCAUGUUUACUAUUUGUAUUCUCUCUGAUCUUACUAUUAACUUCCAUCCAAUCUUGAAAUUGUGUAGUUUCAUUUGCCUUCUUUGCUGAAACAUUACCAAAAUCAUCACCUUCAUGUGUAACUUCUUUGUCACCUUUUUUUCAUAUUG